CUACAAUUAUCUCUCACCUGAAUUUUGCAAUUGGUCACACUGAUUUCAUUCGUGCCCACUUCUACAGCCUAUUCUCAGCACAGCUGACAGAAUAACUAUUUUAAAUUUAAAUCGUAUCAAGUCACUGAAGGCAGAAUAUGGUGGCAGCAGGGAGAAACAUUAGAAGUUUUUUAUAAUAAUGAAAGCUUGAGAUCAUCAUGGCUUGGACCAGACAGGUGGCAAUUUUGGAUACUACCUCUUUGUUGGAGGGGAUAGAACUCAGGGAAAUCUAAGAGAGCCUAAAGGUAAGAGACGAUUGAAAAUGGGAGGUUCUGAGAUGGAAUUUAGGGAGCAGAUCGAAUGUCCCUGAAAAUAAGCUUCAUGGCAUUCACCAUUUAUCCACCUAGCCCUGCUAAAGCAAAUAGUUAAACUAGCACUGUCUACAAAAGCAUUUUAAUGAAAAAGUCAAUUUACUCCUUCCUGAAGGCUAACUCUUAUCUUUCUAGGAAGGACCUUGCAGGAAUAUUUCCUUUAUUUUCUUUCCUCCUCCUUCGCUUAGCCCUGACGCUGGACCUCUUAGCCUAAAGAAGAACUGAACACUAUGGAUACUAAAAUUUUUCUAAUUACAUGAUUUGCAUCCAUUUGGGGGCUGGGUGUCACUGUUUGGCUCUGUUUGUCUUUCUCAAAGACCCAGUGAAAUUUUGCCAGAGUGUAAAACAGGACUUUAUUCAUUUGUUUGAGAGAGAAAAAAGUCAUCAAUUGCUUAAAAAAAAAAAAAGUUUCACACUUCACAAAAAAAUAACAAAACACAGAAAAAGUGGCACAGGCAAUAGUAUAACACCAACACACCCACCCAGAGAUGAAUCCUCAGAGAAAAGUGCAAUCAUGGUAUGCCUGUCCAGAUUUUAAUCCUCGAAGCAGGUGUGCACAAGAGAUCUUAGUCAACGGUGGGACUGAUUUAUGGAUUUCU
rnacentral:lncRNA from 1 species